rnacentral:rRNA from 1 species
AGAGUUUGAUCAUGGCUCAGAACGAACGCUGGCGGCGUGCUUAACACAUGCAAAGUCGAAACGCGAAAAGUUUUCUUCGGGAAGACGAGUAGAGUGGCGCACGGGUGAGUAACGCGUAAGUAAUCUACCCCGGCAUCUGGAAUAACUCACCGAAAGGUGUGCUAAUACCGGAUACGUUGGUAACAAGAAAGGUGGCCUCUGCAUAUGCUACCGUGCUGGGAUGAGCUUGCGUACCAUUAGCUAGUUGGUAGGGUAAAGGCCUACCAAGGCGACGAUGGUUAGCGGGUCUGAGAGGAUGAUCCGCCACACUGGAACUGGAACACGGACCAGACUCCUACGGGAGGCAGCAGUGAGGAAUAUUGCGCAAUGGGGGCAACCCUGACGCAGCGACGCCGCGUGGAUGAUGAAGGCCUUCGGGUCGUAAAGCUCUGUCAGAGGGGAAGAAAUGUAUGGAUGCUAAUACCAUCUUUACUUGACGGUACCCUCAAAGGAAAGCACCGGCUAACUCCGUGCCAGCCGCCGCGGUAAUA